GAGUGCGGUCGUACCAGCACUGAUGCACUGGAUCCCAUCAAAACUUCAAAGUUGUUUGAGUGGUACUAGGAUGGGUGACUUCCUGGGAAGUCCUUGUGUGGCUCUCC
rnacentral:rRNA from 1 species